rnacentral:rRNA from 1 species
UACGGGGGGGGCAAGCGUUGUUCGGAAUUACUGGGCGUAAAGGGCUCGUAGGCGGCCAACUAAGUCAUACGUGAAAUCCCUCGGCUUAACCGGGGAACUGCGUCUGAUACUGGAUGGCUUGAGAUUGGGAGAGGGAUGCGGAAUUCCAGGUGUAGCGGUGAAAUGCGUAGAUAUCUGGAGGAACACCGGUGGCGAAGGCGGCAUCCUGGACCAACACUGACGCUGAGGAGCGAAAGCCAGGGGG